rnacentral:rRNA from 1 species
UGCAGUCGACGGCAGCACGGGAGCAAUCCUGGUGGCGAGUGGCGAACGGGUGAGUAAUAUAUCGGAACGUGCCCAGUCGUGGGGGAUAACGUAGAGAAAUUUACGCUAAUACCGCAUACGAUCUAAGGAUGAAAGCGGGGGACCGUAAGGCCUCGCGCGAUUGGAGCGGCUGAUAUCAGAUUAGGUUAUUGGUGAGGUAAAAGCUCACCAAGCCGACGAUCUGUAGCUGGUUUGAGAGAACGACCAGCCACACCGGGACUGAGACACGGCCCAGACUCCUACGGGAGGCAGCAGUGGGGAAUUUUGGACAAUGGGCGAAAGCCUGAUCCAGCAAUGCCGCGUGCAGGAAGAAGGCCUUCGGGUUGUAAACUGCUUUUGUACGGAACGAAAAGGUCUGCCCUAAUACGGCGGGCCCAUGACGGUACCGUAAGAAUAAGCGCCGGCUAACUACGUGCCAGCAGCCGCGGUAAUACGUAGGGUGCGAGCGUUAAUCGGAAUUACUGGGCGUAAAGCGUGCGCAGGCGGUGAUGUAAGACAGUUGUGAAAUCCCCGGGCUCAACCUGGGAAUUGCAUCUGUGACUGCAUCGCUAGAGUACGGUAGAGGGGGAUGGAAUUCCGCGUGUAGCAGUGAAAUGCGUAGAUAUGCGGAGGAACACCGAUGGCGAAGGCAAUCCCCUGGACCUGUACUGACGCUCAUGCACGAAAGCGU